rnacentral:rRNA from 1 species
GACAGAGGUGCCGAGCGUUAGGCGGAAUCACUGGGCUUAAAGCGUGUGUAGGCGGAUCUGUAAGUACCUUGUGAAAUCCCACAGCUCAACUGUGGAACUGCUUGGUAUACUGGGUGUCUUGAGCCACUUAGGGGUUACCGGAACAAAUGGUGGAGCGGUGAAAUGCGUAGAUAUCAUUUGGAACGCCAAUGGUGAAAACAGGUAACUGGGAGUGUGCUGACGCUGAGACACGAAAGCCAGGGGAGCGAACGGG